rnacentral:lncRNA from 1 species
AUGGCGGGACACCCCAGGGAGAAGGUGAUCCAGGAUGAGGUCCGUCAGAACCAGAUCUUGCAGGAGCUGUACCUCAAAGGGCUACCAGCCCAGAACGUCUAUGCGCGGUAUCACGUGAACCCCUCCACGAGGUCCACAGAUCACCAGGAAGCCCAUGUCUUGGCAUGGUAACCUGGAGGAGCCUGGAGACGCCAGGUUUCGGAAUCUCAUUCACCACGCUGCCCAGGGACCAAGGAAGAGGGACCCAGACACAGACCGAAAACCAGGAAAGUGCAUGGGACUCAGUGCCCCCCCCUCAACCCAGAAUGCCCAGAUUGCAGGCUGAACCACUGCAGGGUCUGCAAUGACAUCGCUCUGUACAAGGCUCAGAUGUGGAGCCUGGGAGGAGAUGAUGGCCAC